ensembl:lncRNA
CAGGGAAAAAUAGAUUUAAAGGGACAAAUAGAAUUUGAGGGAUAUGUACAAGAUGCAAGUGUAGAUGUUGAAAUAAAUGAGCAGAGCUGCAGAAGUGAGCUGAGGAGAAUGGCAGACAACAGAAGAGAGAGAGAGAGACACACAGCCAUGAGAGAGGGGCUGAAGCUACAAGAGGAGGGGCUGAGAACGUCAACACCAAUAUCUCAAGCAAAACAAAAAGAGAGAGAGAGAACAGCCCACAAGGUGGAGCCAAGGAUUGAAAGAGGAGGGGCCAAGGACUACAGAGAGGAGGAGAAAACAGGUGAGCCACACACAUAUCGAUGUCUUUUAGAGAUGCUCAAUGAAAUGGAGAAUCGCCACAAACACCUAACCUCAGUUUAUGAAGAAUUGGGAAGCCAUCAAGCAGAAGAGCUUGAAGAUGCACCUGAAAGAACAGUGACACCUGCUGACACAGUCCAAGAAGCACUAAAUGAGAUGGAGGAAAGGUGCAACAGAACAAGAGAGAAUCUCAAACAAACUGUCCACAUGACAAGAGAAGAUUUCAAACAAGCUGUGAACUCAUUGCAACAAAAGCUGGAUGAAGUGAUGGGCAAACAUGAACCAAUGAAACCAUACCCAAGCCCACAUGAUUAUGUACAGCAAAAACAGUACAAGCAAGUAGCUGGGACACUGGUAAUGCAAGACAUAGAACAUCCAGAUGACCGGUUUCAAGUGCAUGGACACAGAGGAGAAGGGGAGCAUAGAUCAACAAGGACGUUAAGAAAGACUGAAACCCCGAGAUUUGAGUGCCCAAUACUCAUCAAGCAAGGUCACGCCCAAUACAUUCCCUGGGCAAGUCAAGAUCUGGACACUUUGGUUUCCCGUCUUCCAGACAUCCAUGAAGGAGCUGGAAAAUGGAUCAGAAUAUUUGAAGAAGAAACAACUGGAAAGCUUCUGGCCCUGGGUGACAUCAAAGCCCUGCUUGCUAAGUGUUUGGGGGCCUCCAAGAUGAAUGACAUUCUCAAGUAGUCUGGCCUCCACCAAGCAGUCAACAGGUCUCAAGCAGAUG